rnacentral:lncRNA from 1 species
GAAUCCUAAUUUCUUUCGUGUCAAUUGAAACCUCAAAUCGAGUUGUUUACAAAUUUUGCCUUUUGCUUAUUUCUAAGUAGGGAGCAUUAUUGAAUAAAUUUGGUUUUGGAAUCUAAAGUUGGGGAGAGUAAAGAAAAAAGAGUUGAUUAGAAACUUGGAAAAGUGAGUUUUUAUGAAAGGGUGAAAAUAUGAAAAGAAACAAGAAAA